rnacentral:rRNA from 1 species
UUCGGGGUACUCGAGUGGCGAACGGGUGAGUAACACGUGGGUGAUCUGCCCUGCACUUUGGGAUAAGCCUGGGAAACUGGGUCUAAUACCGAAUAUGACCACGCUCUUCAUGGGGUGUGGUGGAAAGCUUUUGCGGUGUGGGAUGGGCCCGCGGCCUAUCAGCUUGUUGGUGGGGUAAUGGCCUACCAAGGCGACGACGGGUAGCCGGCCUGAGAGGGUGACCGGCCACACUGGGACUGAGAUACGGCCCAGACUCCUACGGGAGGCAGCAGUGGGGAAUAUUGCACAAUGGGCGCAAGCCUGAUGCAGCGACGCCGCGUGAGGGAUGACGGCCUUCGGGUUGUAAACCUCUUUCACCAGGGACGAAGCGCAAGUGACGGUACCUGGAGAAGAAGCACCGGCCAACUACGUGCCAGCAGCCGCGGUAAUACGUAGGGUGCGAGCGUUGUCCGGAAUUACUGGGCGUAAAGAGCUCGUAGGUGGUUUGUCGCGUUGUUCGUGAAAACUCACAGCUUAACUGUGGGCGUGCGGGCGAUACGGGCAGACUAGAGUACUGCAGGGGAGACUGGAAUUCCUGGUGUAGCGGUGGAAUGCGCAGAUAUCAGGAGGAACACCGGUGGCGAAGGCGGGUCUCUGGGCAGUAACUGAC